rnacentral:tRNA from 1 species
GGGCUAGUGGCACAGCGGAAGCGCACCGGUCUCCGGAACCGGCGGUCGCGGGUUCGAAUCCCGCCUAGCCCA